GCCUCCCUCAUGAAAAUGGUGGUUCUGUCCUCAUACCUCUCCUCCAUGGUAUAGAACACAGAAUUUAAAGAUCAUGUAUGCCAGGGCUGUGUGGGUGGAGCAUGGCAAGGAAGUGGAGGGAACUGCCCCAGACAACUGGAUUGAUCUCGACAACAAAACUAUUAGAUGGCCAAAAAAAGGGGAAAAGGCAGCUUUCCUCAAUCAACACCCCCCUCAGGAUGACUGGAUGACAUUCACCUUGGUGAAGCGUAAAAUUACUUCUGUAAACAUUUGUGAAUGCGAUGACAUGACAAGCUAUGUCGAGGAGGAAGAGCAGGAAAAUUAGGAAGUAAGAGGAAGGAGGAAAAAGACCAAACACA